rnacentral:rRNA from 1 species
CCCUUAGAUGUCCUGGGCCGCACGCGCGCUACACUGAUGCAUUCAACGAGUUUCACCUUGGCCGAGAGGCCUGGGCAAUCUUUUAAACCUGCAUCGUGAUAGGGAUAGAUUAUUGCAAUUGUUAAUCUUGAACGAGGAAUUCCUAGUAAACGCAAAUCAUCAAUUUGCAUUGAUUACGUCCCUGCCCUUUGUACACACCGCCCGUCGCUCCUACCGAUUGAAUGAUCCGAUGAAUAUCAUGGAUUGAGGAUGCAAGCAGGUUCGCCUGUCUUCAUCUUCGAGAAGUGAAGUAAAUCUUAUCAUUUAGAGGAAGGAGAAGUCGUAACA